UGGCUCAGAUUGAACGCUGGCGGCAGGCCUAACACAUGCAAGUCGAGCGGUAGAGAGGUGCUUGCAUCUCUUGAGAGCGGCGGACGGGUGAGUAAUGCCUAGGAAUCUGCCUAGUGGUGGGGGAUAACGUUCGGAAACGGACGCUAAUACCGCAUACGUCCUACGGGAGAAAGCGGGGGGAUCUUCGGACCUCGCGCCAUUAGAUGAGCCUAGGUCGGAUUAGCUAGUUGGUGAGGUAAUGGCUCACCAAGGCGACGAUCCGUAACUGGUCUGAGAGGAUGAUCAGUCACACUGGAACUGAGACACGGUCCAGACUCCUACGGGAGGCAGCAGUGGGGAAUAUUGGACAAUGGGCGAAAGCCUGAUCCAGCCAUGCCGCGUGUGUGAAGAAGGUCUUCGGAUUGUAAAGCACUUUAAGUUGGGAGGAAGGGUAGUAACCUAAUACGUUGCUACUUUGACGUUACCGACAGAAUAAGCACCGGCUAACUUCGUG
rnacentral:rRNA from 1 species